ACGUUCGGGUAAUCGCUGCAUUCAUUUGAAUGUAGAGGAAAGUCCAUGCUCGCACGGUCUGAAAUGUCCGUAGUGUUCGUGCCUAGCGAAGUCAUAAGCUAGGGUAUUCUGGUUUCGACUGGGUUAACGGCAGGGAAAGCACCUAAGUCUUUUGAUAUGGUGUGAAUAUCUUGAAAGUGCCACAGUGACGUAGUUCUUUCGGAAACGAAAGAAGUGGAACGAGGUAAACCCCACGAGCGAGAAACCCAAAUAAUGGUAGGGGAGUCUUCUCAAAGGAAUUAAACGGAGAGAAGGCCGGAUACUCAUGUAUCUGGAGAUAGAUGAUUGCCGCCUGAGUACGAGGUGAACAGCCGUUAGCAGUACGAAGGGACAAAACAUGGCUUACAGGA
rnacentral:RNase_P_RNA from 1 species